UACAGAGGAUGCAAGCGUUAUCCGGAAUGAUUGGGCGUAAAGCGUCUGUAGGUGUCUUUUUAAGUCCGCCGUCAAAUCCCAGGGCUCAACUCUGGACAGGCGGUGGAAACUACCAAGCUGGAGUACGGUAGGGGCAGAGGGAAUUUCCGGUGGAGCGGUGAAAUGCGUAGAGAUCGGAAAGAGCACCAGCGGGGAAAGCACUCUGCUGGGCCGACACUGACACUGAGAGACGAAAGCUAGGGGAGCGAAUGAG
rnacentral:rRNA from 1 species